UACAGCCACAUCAAGUUGAAACACUGGUUCACGUACGAUUACCGAAGUUAAGCUACAUCGAACCUGGUCAGUACCUAAGUGAGUGACCACUUGGGAAUAACAGGAGG